rnacentral:antisense_RNA from 1 species
GCGACAACGAGCUUCGGUCAAUGUCAGACAAAUGAGGCCACGGCCAUACUUGGCCAUGAAAUUGAUGGCCUCUGGCGUAACAAAGUCGGCGGCCA